rnacentral:rRNA from 1 species
GAAAAACUUCUAAGCAUCAGGUCAUAAGGGACCGUACCCCAAACCGACACAGGUGGUCAGGUAGAGAAUACCAAGGCGCUUGAGAGAACUCGGGUGAAGAACUAGGCAAAAUGGCACCGUAACUUCGGGAGAAGGUGCGCCGGCGACGGUGAAGGGCUUGCCCCGUAAGCUGUUGCUGGUCGAAGAUACCAGGUGGCUGCGACUGUUUAUUAAAAACACAGCACUGUGCCAACACGAAAGUGGACGUAUACGGUGUGACGCCUGCCCGGUGCCGGAAGGUUAAUUGAUGGGGUUAUCUCACCUCCAGAUUGCUUUUGCUGCACAGAUAAUUGCUCCUGCAUUAUCUGCA